rnacentral:rRNA from 1 species
GACGAACGCUGGCGGCGUGCUUAACACAUGCAAGUCGAACGAAGUGGCGGACGGGUGAGUAACGCGUAAUCAACCUGCCCUUCAGAGGGGGACACCAGUUGGAAACGACUGCUAAUACCGCAUACUGAAGGAGGGGAUUGCGUCUGAUUAGCUAGUUGGGGGGGUAAAGGCCCACCAAGGCGAUGAUCCGUAGGCGGGUUGGGGAGGUUGACGGCCAAAAUGGGACCGGGACACGGGCCAGACUCCUACGGGGGGGAGCAGUGGGGAAACUUCCGCAAUGGACGAAAGUCUGGCGGAGCAACGCCGCGGGAGUGAUGACGGCCUUCGGGUUGUAAAGCUAUGUUAAUCGGGACGCGGUACCGGAAUAGAAAGCCACGGCUAACUACGUGCCAGCAGCCGCGGUAAUUC